rnacentral:tRNA from 4 species
GGUAGGUAGCGGCUAAUGGUAGCCAAACUGUCUUGAAAACAGUUGCCACUGUAGAGAUACGGUGAGGGUUCGACUCCUUUACUUACCGCCU